rnacentral:rRNA from 1 species
GACGAACGCUGGCGGCGUGCUUAACACAUGCAAGUCGAACGGAAAGGCCUCUUUCGGGGGGUACUCGAGUGGCGAACGGGUGAGUAACACGUGAGUAACCUGCCCUUGACUUUGGGAUAACUUCAGGAAACUGGGGCUAAUACCGGAUAGGAGCUCCUGCUGCAUGGUGGGGGUUGGAAAGUUUCGGCGGUUGGGGAUGGACUCGCGGCUUAUCAGCUUGUUGGUGGGGUAGUGGCUUACCAAGGCUUUGACGGGUAGCCGGCCUGAGAGGGUGACCGGCCACAUUGGGACUGAGAUACGGCCCAGACUCCUACGAGAGGCAGCAGUGGGGAAUAUUGCACAAUGGGUGGAAGCCUGAUGCAGCAACGCCGUGUGCGGGAUGACGGCCUUCGGGUUGUAAACCGCUUUCGCUCAUGACGAAGCUUUGUGUGACGGUAGUGGGUAAAGAAGCACCGGCUAACUACGUG